rnacentral:tRNA from 1 species
ACUAAAAUAGUUUAAAAUAAAAUAUUAAUCUUGUAAAUUAAAGUCGUCUAUCUUUUAGUA